ACCUACAACAUAGUGUUAAUGCAUUGGAUCCCAUUAGAACUCUGCAGUUAAGCAUGCUUAGGAUAGAGUAGUACUAGGAUGGGUGACCUCCCAGGAAGUCCCAGUGUUUUAGUUA
rnacentral:rRNA from 1 species